rnacentral:rRNA from 1 species
UACGUAGGGUGCAAGCGUUGUCCGGAAUUAUUGGGCGUAAAAAGCUCGUAGGCGGUUUGUCGCGUCUGCUGUGAAAACUCGGGGCUUAACUCCGGGCCUGCAGUGGGUACGGGCAGACUAGAGUGCGGUAGGGGAGACUGGAAUUCCUGGUGUAGCGGUGAAAUGCGCAGAUAUCAGGAGGAACACCGGUGGCGAAGGCGGGUCUCUGGGCCGUAACUGACGCUGAGGCGCGAAAGCCAGGGGAGCAAACGGG